GCGGUGGAGCAUGUGGUUAAUUCGAAGCAACGCGAAGAACCUUACCAGGUCUUGACAUCCCGAUGCUAUUUCUAGAGAUAGAAAGUUACUUCGGUACAUCGGUGACAGGUGGUGCAUGGUUGUCGUCAGCUCGUGUCGUGAGAUGUUGGGUUAAGUCCCGCAACGAGCGCAACCCCUAUUGUUAGUUGCCAUCAUUCAGUUGGGCACUCUAGCGAGACUGCCGGUAAUAAACCGGAGGAAGGUGGGGAUGACGUCAAAUCAUCAUGCCCCUUAUGACCUGGGCUACACACGUGCUACAAUGGUUGGUACAACGAGUUGCGAGUCGGUGACGGCGAGCUAAUCCCUUAAAGCCAAUCUCAGUUCGGAUUGUAGGCUGCAACUCGCCUACAUGAAGUCGGAAUCGCUAGUAAUCGCGGAUCAGCACGCCGCGGUGAAUACGUUCCCGGGCCUU
rnacentral:rRNA from 1 species